CUAAAAGCCUAGUAAGUUACUAGUCGUUAUGAUUUGCGUCCUGUUUGUGCAAUCUUCGCACUAUCUAUUCUAUCUAUUUACUUGUUAAUUCUUAGUUUUAUGAGUUAUGCAAUGAACCUGGGAGUAUUUUUGAAAGUCUUCUUCCGGAAUGUCUGAUAAUCUAUGCAAAAACAUCUCCAAAAGCAGAAGACAGCUGGGUAUUGUCUUGGGGUACAUUGUAGUCCUUCUCUCCCUGAAGAUGAAACCUAUAUGGGUGACCAGUACAGUGUUGCUUGGAUGGAAGACAGAGGUCAAAGAAAGGACUAUGAAUGGAAAUUCAGACUAUGGUUCCCACGCGUGCAGUAUGGUUCCCACUCUUCUUAUAUUUGAGUACAAAUCCUGCCAAUGAUACUUUCCUGGAGUAAAACUCACAGGGACCACCUUCAAAAACAGUCGACCAACGUGAUGAAGAUCUCAUCCAUUCCUGAGAUAAGUUCCACAAAGCUGUUGUGGGUUCUUGUAGGAAAAUUGCUGCUCAGAAACAAAUCCUGGAAGUAAGGUCUCGCAGAAACAUAAACUUUUCCAGAAGCUCUCGUUUAGCAUUGAAAGGGAUCCAGAACUGCUUAGAACUACGAUACCUGUUGGGCAACCACUUAUUGAUGACCGGGACUGCCUUAAAAACAUUUGUACCGUUUCCCUUGAUUCAAUUUGUUUAGUUUGACUGUAUUAGACCCUUUCUAAUAUGCACCUUCUUAUUAGCCAUUGAUUUGGCCAAAAAGAGCAUCAACUAUAGAUGGUCCACCUACAAUAAUAAGUAAAAAAUCUAGGUGCACGGAUGAAUUUAAGAGUGUGCAUGCUAGAAUCCGUCUAUGAUUGAAUCAUUGCUUUUCUGUAUGUUAUUAAUUAUCCAGUUCACAUAGUUACGGUAUGAGAUGGCAGCAGGGCCUCCACCAUUGUAUCCCCUUCCAAUAAAUCAACAUUUUGUUUAUUGAUUGAACAAACAUUACCAUAUAAGGUUGUGCCACCAUGAAUGCUGAAGAUGAGAAAGAUC